GCUAGUAAUCGUGGAUCAGAAUGCCACGGUGAAUACGUUCCCGGGCCUUGUACACACCGCCCGUCACACCAUGGGAGUGGGUUGCAAAAGAAGUAGGUAGCUUAACCUUCGGGAGGGCGCUUACCACUUUGUGAUUCAUGACUGGGGUGAAGUCGUAACAAGGUAACCGUAGGGGAACCUGCGGUUGGAUCACCUCCUUACCUUAAAGAAGC
rnacentral:rRNA from 4 species